UUUUUUUUUUUUUUUCUCCUGUUAAUGGUAGAAGGAUUUACAGGAGCACAGAGAAGAGCCUUCUCUCCAGCAGGCAAUUGAAAUGCUCGGUGACGGUGCCUUGAUACAUUGAUGGUGUAUCUUCUAGUCUGGUCACGAAGCAGUUUCACUGCCCGUUUAUGCCACAAUUUUUUGUUAGAUUUAAAAGAUGACCCAAGCGUUUCCCACGGCCGCGUAAGCCCUUGAAUUGACACGAGGCUCAGUAUGAGAGCACCUGGCCCCCAUGAUUUAAAAAAAAAAUCUUCCUGUAUUAUAUGAAAACGAGGAGAAAAAAAAAUGUUUUUCAACCUAAAAUGUAGAUGCUUCAAUUACGUAUUACUGCAUUAAGUUCACUGAGAAACACGGGUGUGGCCCUUUCAAUCAAUAUAGGUGGAUAUACCAGCAGUCUGAUGUAUACCAUCAGCUGAUGGCAAGAGGCUAUGCAGAAAUCCGAAGUGAGUGGAAAUAAUUUGCACUAAUGGAUUUUGUUUUGCUUUGCUUUGCCUUGCCAGAAUGUCAUAAACCAGCUACUCUUUCUCUGUGAUUGAAUCAGUGACGGUUUCCUUUGUAAGCAUUGCUGGCUGCUUUUCUUGAAAUGAGGUUGAGAUGCAAAGUGAACUAGCUGCAAAUUACUUUGAACGUUUACAUGGGCCUACCCAGACUAGGAAAGUGAAUGAGGUUAGUCUAUAAUUGGCUGCAACAGUAAUAGCUUUAUUUGUUUUUCUAGAUGUUAAAAGAGAAAGUCCUGAGCAAUAACUGAAAACUGCUCUAAAGAAAUCAUCUGUGGAAACGUUCAUCCAGAGAGCCCAUGUUCUGUUUCAGCCAAGACAGAGGUGCACCCCCAGCCAAUGGGGUGGAACUUCUCCAUAGAUACAAUAAUUUUGUGUACAGCCUUAGCUGCAAAGGACCAUCGUGCAUCCCCAUCUAAACUCCAGUUCUGUCAAGAAAGAGUAAAAUAUUUAGGAUUUAUUCUAACUGAAGGAAAACGAUC
rnacentral:lncRNA from 1 species